rnacentral:tRNA from 1 species
GGUUAUGUAGCUCAGUGGUAGAGUGCUUGCUUAGUAUGCACGAGGUUCUGGGUUUGAUUCCCAGGACUG